AGUGAACGCUGGCGGUAGGCCUAACACAUGCAAGUCGAACGGCAGCACAGUAAGAGCUUGCUCUUACGGGUGGCGAGUGGCGGACGGGUGAGGAAUACAUCGGAAUCUACUUUUUCGUGGGGGAUAACGUAGGGAAACUUACGCUAAUACCGCAUACGACCUACGGGUGAAAGCAGGGGAUCUUCGGACCUUGCGCGAUUGAAUGAGCCGAUGUCGGAUUAGCUAGUUGGCGGGGUAAAGGCCCACCAAGGCGACGAUCCGUAGCUGGUCUGAGAGGUUGAUCACCCACACUGGAACUGAGACACGGUCCAGACUCCUACGGGAGGCAGCAGUGGGGAAUAUUGGACAAUGGGCGCAAGCCUGAUCCAGCCAUACCGCGUGGGUGAAGAAGGCCUUCGGGUUGUAAAGCCCUUUUGUUGGGAAAGAAAAGCAGCAGGUUAAUACCCCGCUGUUCUGACGGUACCCAAAGAAUAAGCACCGGCUAACUUCGUG
rnacentral:rRNA from 1 species